UGUGCCAGCCACUCAUAGAAUAGACAACUCCUAAGGUGUCGCUGGCCUUCUCUGACCUUAGCAUUGUCUCUAAGAAAGAGAGAAGAAAAGUGUAGACCUAUGAAGUGUGGAAUCACAGAUUUUUUAAAACGCUGAGAACUUGUAUGGCCCAGAUGAAGCCUCUGAAUGGGCUGUUCCUAGACUGCGGUUGGCUGUUGUCAGAUAGUGUGCAAAGCCACUUACGAUCUAGCAGAGAAAGAAACAAGCAAAGAGGAUACAUACUGCAGAUCCACAGAGCUAAGUUGGAGUCCUAGGACCACCACUGAAUUACUGUGUCACUUAUCAGGCCGCAGACCCUCUCUGAUCAGCCUAAGAUAACAUUUCAACCCUGUG